AUAUCCUAAUCUCUUUAAUAUCAAUGGCAUCCUAAUCUCAAUCCCUAAAAUCUUUAAUCCCCAUCUCUCCCGAUACCAUUCCAGAGCAUGCAAAAUCCUCUCUCUUCGCUCUCCGCCCCUGUUUAAUCCUCGAAUUUGUGUGUUAUGCUUUUCUUCUGUUUCAGCCAAACGAAACCUGUUUCUCUGUUGUAACCUACCUCUUCAAUGUCUUUCAAUGGUAAAAGCCCGUUUGGAAGUGAAAUUUCUUUUGAUUUCGCUUGGCAGAGUAGGUCUCCAUGGUAUACCUCUGAUUUCGCUUUGAUCUCUGCCCCAUAACUGACCCACCGCAAACCCAUCCUAAUCUCAAUCCCUAAUAUCCUAAUCUCUUUAAUAUCAAUCGCUAAAAUCUUUAAUCCCAUGCAAAAUCCUCUCUCUUAGCUCCCCGCCCCAAACCCAUCCUAAUCUCAAUCCCUAAUAUCCUAAUCUCUUCAGUUCAUGAGACCGCGGAGGAGUGGAGCAGCCGCGACGCUGGUGCCUCCUAAACGGUAAGUAGGCGACGAAUGUGUGACGUUUCCUCCUCCCCCUCUCUCCCCGGACCAACCCAUAUCUGGCUCUCCUCCUUCCUCUCCCCAUCUCAAUCCUGCUCUCAAUCCCUAAGUCAAGGUUGUUUUGGCUGCUAAUGACUCAUAUUCUAUCAAUUAUAUCAAAGGAAAGAUGUGAAAAUAUGGUGGAUUAUAUAAAAAGGCUUAAGGUUUAUAUCAGAUGGUUCCAAGACCUUGAGAUAAACUACUCAUUAGAGCAGGAAAAGUUAAAGAAUUCACUGGAAAUGACCCAGCAAAAAAGUAUAGAAAUUGAGUUGCUGCUUAAAAUCAAGGAAGAUGAACUGAAUUCAAUUAUUGUAGAAAUGAGAAGGAAUUGCAGUUCUUUACAAGAGAAAUUCAUAAAGGAAGAAGCAGAGAAGUCGGUUGUUGUGGCUGCUAAUGACUCAUCUUCUAUCAAUUAUAUCAAAGCAGAAGCACGUUUGAGGUGUUCAGAUCCCUAUGAAGCACCCAGUUGUCAUGAAGAUACUUCACACCUUCUAGAGGGCUGGAUCAUUAAGCACUUCACUUCACUUUGGCUAAAUGCAGUAGGUCUCGGAAGAGUUUAGACAGUAUGUCUUGCAUCUGUUGGAGAAACCUACGCUCAGGCCAGCUUCCAUGAAGCUGCUCUAAAGAUACUGCAACCGACUCUACUUGAAAGAUACCCCAAAAGAUUGUUACAGGGAUGCAAUAUUAGUUAAUGCACUUUGGAAUAAGGAAAAUUUUGUCAAGAAUUUGUUGUGUAACCGCAAGCUCAUUUUUGAAAUAUGAUUGUCUGAUAAGAACUUGAAAGAAGGAUCACAAACAUAUACGAUUACAAGAACUUUUGUCCCCGCCAACAUUUUCCUCGAUACAACAAGUAGUAUCCACAUCAAACAGGAACCAAAGUCACCUCAACCGUCAACGUCCAACUCAAAGGACAAAGAGGAUAUCAAACAAAAAGGUAAAAUACAUGAAGAAGUGGACUAUAGAGAUGAGGAUAAUGAUAAAGACAACAAUGACAACCAGUUAUCCAAAGGAAAAAUCAAGGUAGAACAAAACAAUAAAAAUAUUCAAAUAUCAUCUUCAGAUGAAGAUACAAUCAAGACAAAAAUUACAAAAAAAAAGAAGAUUAUGGUCGAGAAUAUUACAUCAUCCGACGAAGAGCCCAUCCUUCUACGUACCUUAAGGGGAACAAAAAAGAAGAAACCAAAAGAAAAACAAUCUGGAAGUGUAAGGAAAUUGAUAAAACAAAAAAAAACCAAAAUAAGUGAAAAAAAUUAAAAUCGAUGAAUGUAUUUCCAAAUAUUUCACUUUAAUAAUUUUUAAAUUCAACAAUAAAGUAGUACUUUUUGUAA